AUAUCUUAAAAAUAAUACCAUUGGCUUUUGAAUAUUGGGCUGACAAAUAUAAUAAGGCUAAUUAUAAAGCCUGUUCAUACAAAAAAAAAAAAACUCUUCUCUCUCUCUGAACGAAGUAUCCUAGAUCUUCUCCACUUGCUCUCCUCACCGACGGUGACUUCGCCGCCAAUCUAAUCGCCGGAAAUUGGUGAUGAUAACCUUAUUAUCAAGCUCACGAUUCAUUUAUACUAGUUCCAAUCCCAAGUUCCCAAUUCUUUUUGCCAAAACCUAAACCCAUUUCCUUGUAAGCUUCGAUCGAUCACUGAAAAAUCUUCCAGUUCGAUCGUUUUAUCGCAGGAAGAAAUAGCCAGGGAGGAGAAAUAGCCAGGGAGGCAAUAAAGCAUGUAUUAAGCGAAAGCGACUUUGGAUUGAAGAAGGCGCUCAUGCUCUGGCCUAUAUCGCUCUAUCGAAGCCUCUAGUUUCUCAGGUUUUCUCUCUAACUUUGAAACCUGUUUGUUCUUGGCGUAACACGCAUUUAGAUACCAAUAUUGGAUCAUUAAGUCGCACACUCUACUGUUGCCUUGGUUUUGUUCUUGAUCUGACUAUGACUCAUGAUAAUAAAUCAGUCAUUGCAGCUAGCAGCUCAAACAAUUGGUAUGUCUGGGAUGGUAAACAGGCCUAGGCAUUGGUAGACUGAGAUAGAACUAAAGGAAAAGGAAACAUGUCUUUGGGCAAGGGUAUUGGGUCCUUCUUUAAAGUUUCAAGUGAUUGAUAUUAAUUUGCUUAUAUAAUUUGGUAGUUUUGAAGAAGCCCAUAGACUCCUAAUCAACAUGAUUGAUUCUGAAAUUUUAGCUGAUGUAUGUACAUAUAGUAUUGUAAUUGAUUCUCUUUGCAAAGUGGAGAAACUGAAAGAGUUAUAUGAACUGAUGUUAUCAAACGGGGUUUACCAGAUUCACUUUGAUCAAAGGCUAUAUGAAGGUUGAUAAAACACAAGUGUUAGUAGUGAGUUCUCAUCAUAUAGUUUAUGUUCCGUAACUAGCAUUGUACAAAUUAGGGAAUAAGUGGCUGCAUUACCCAGAUUGAUUGUGUUGUGUGUACCAAGACAUGAGAACCAAGUACAGCAAAGGAUAGCAUAUAUACUUCAAUCAGAAAGGUCCUAUUUUUUAUGUAUCAUUACUUUGCUGCAACUGAGAUAUAUAAUGUGAUCCGUGUCUUUAUUGCUGCAUAUGUUUGGAUGAUUGGAUUUGGCAACUUUUCCUACUAUUACAUCAGAAAAGAUUUUAGUCUUGCACGUUUUACUCAGGGUAUACCGAUCCUGCAAAGCCAGAUCUCUCUCGGCUGCAUGAGUGGCAUUUCAGAUCUGGACUUGAUCGUUAUAUAUGGAUCAUUGGAAUGAUAUAUGCAUAUUGUCAUCCAAAUGUUGAGAAGUGGAUGGAAAAAUUGGAGGAAACAGAAACCAAGAAGAGAGUUUCAAUCAAAGGGAUUGUAGUUGCUGUUUCCGUAUUUGUUGGUUAUUUAUGGUUCGAGUACAUUUACAAGCUCGACAAGGUUUCAUAUAACAAGUUCCAUCCCUACACCUCAUGGAUCCCUAU